UGCAGAUUGAGUUGGGUAGCUACGUUGGCUACUUUGUCUGGACCUGUCAUACAUUGUUUCAAAGCAAGAUUCAGGUUCAGAACGUGAUUGGAGGGACAGUUAGGAGUUGCAGGGACCUGUGAGGAGAAAUGAGUGAGAAUGAGUGGGAGAAUGGGAGACAAUGAGGAGAGCAGCUCUGACCAGCCCCUGGAAAUACCAGAGGAGAAUCCUACCCCAAGCACUAGUACUGCUCAGUGGACUGUGAGAUCAGCGAUAUUAGAUGGGACUUAUUUUGAAAUUGUGAAACAAACAGAAUCUGGGCAAGUUCAGGCUGAGUGCAAAUUAUGUACAAAGAAGAAAACCAUCAUAUCUGGUUCUGUUCAAGCCACUACAAAUUUCAAAACUCACCUGAAGAGGUUGCAUGCUGAGGUACUUCCAGAGUUUGAGCAACACAA